rnacentral:rRNA from 1 species
CCUACGGGAGGCAGCAGUGAGGCAUAUUGGUCAAUGGACGAGAGUCUGAACCAGCAACGCCGCGUGAAGGAUGACUGCUUUCUGGGUGUUAACCUCUUUUUUUAGAGAAGUUAAUCGCGGUAUCUGAGCCUUCAUCCCCGGCUAACUCGGUUCCAGCAGCCGCGGUAAUACGUCGGGAGCCAGCGUUAUCCGGAUUUACUGGGCGUAAAGCGAGCGUAGGCGGGUUAGAAAGUCAGUUGUGAAAUCCUGCGGCUCAACCGUAGAAUUGCCAUUGAAACUGGCAGUCUUGAGUUUAGUAGAGGUAGGCGGAAUUCGUGGUGUAGCGGUGAAAUGCGUAGAUAUCACGAAGAACACCAAUUGCGAAGGCGGCUUGCUAGACUGUAACUGACGUUGAUGCGCGAAAGUGUGGGUAGCAAACAGGAUUAGAUACCCCAGUAGUC